rnacentral:lncRNA from 1 species
CUUUAUUCACUCUGGGCAGUUUGUUGAAGAUUAGGUGGUCAGCUCACAAUGAAUCAUAAGCUGCUUUUGUCCCUUGCUGUCUAUGCUUAGAAGCUAAAAGGUUAAGCAGCGAUGUCAGCGCUAUCAGGGAGCUGUGGAGACUGGAAUUGAAGUUCAGAACCUUUCAUGGGAGACAGCUCAGAUGUAUUUCUGUGCAAAACUUGUCUCCAAGGAAGACUCUAAUCUUCUAAACUCUGGAUUUAUAUGAUUUCUCAAUAUGCUAUAUCAACCUCAUUUUGCUAAUAAUGAUACAGGACGGAGGCAGCAAAGUUCUGGAUAGAGAAGGAUGGGGUCCCUGGUGAGGGCUCCACCCUCAGGCCUGUGCCCAUGGACCUAAGUAUGGACAAGCACUCCUGUUUUUGCACCCAAAUGUUGCAUUUUCCAAGACCACUCUGACCCAACACAUGCUCCAUCCUGUGCUUAUAAAAAUCCCGAGACCCUAACAGGCACACACAGAAGUGGCUGGACGUUGAGAGGAGCAGAAGAGCACACUGACAGACACCAGCAAAUGCUCGCAGGCCAUCGAGGGCAGGAUGAGGAUGACUUGGAAUUUGGCAGGGGAUGAUUAGAGGAGAGUCUGGCCACUGGGCAGCCAACUCCACAUUCCCACUUAAUCCUCCUUCUGUUCUCCCCAUCCAUCUUGCUGAGAGCUACCUCCGCUCAAUAAAAUCUUGCACCCACCCUCAAAGCCUAUGUGUGAUCCAAUUUUUCCGGUACAUGAAGGCAAG